ensembl:lncRNA
UUUAGAUGCAACCCCAACUACAAACGUUCUUGGCAGCAGAUAAAGACAAAAUAUCAAAAUAUAAUUCAAAGUGGGUGAAGCAAAUGAUGAAGAGACCCUCUCUGCCUGUUCCGAAACCGUUGCUGAGAUAUUUUUAUGCAGUGCAAGUGGUUGAGACGCAGAUGCAAUCUUCCCACCUGAGAUGCGCCGUUGAUAUCUGAGCUAGGUCACAUUCCCCUUCAGGCGCAAUCCAUUUUCCCUCCAAAAGGCGAACACGGUGCGUCAUGGGACGGCGCGCUGCAUUAGAGGAGUUCAGGUGGAGCCGCGACUCUCUUCCCCCGCGAGGUUUGCGUCUUUCAGGAAAUUACCCAGCAAUAUGCCGCAUAAACGCUGAGGCGCACCAGUGUUUCCCGCAUUACGACGGGGCUCGUGCUUGAGAUGUGCUCUUUAUGCUCGGAUGUCUCGGCCUGCUGAGAUGCUGUCAAAGGAAACCGCCCGUCUGUCUCUCUGGAGUCCCGCUGCGUGUUUCUGAUCUGACUGUGGGCUGGCGCUCGUGAAUAAGACAACAGAUUCAGCUCAGCAUAAGGUGUGAUAAAUCUGUGAUGCAUUAUUUCCACAGUGUCAGCCGAGGAAAGCCUGGUGGGUUUUCCUCUCCUUCUAUCUAUCUAUCUGCUGGUAUCAGUCUCUUUUUUGACUCUUCAAGUUUCCAGUCUUAUCGCCUGCAGUCGACUUUCACUCUGAACAGCGAUUAGCACUCAAGCUUUAUGCUGUUUAUAGACUUCAGUUCCGCAUUCAACAAAAUCAUACCUCAACAGCUCAUUCACAAACUGGUCCAGCUGGGGCUCAACACUUAGCUGUGCAACUGGCUGUUAGACUUUCUGACUGGAAGACCUCAGGCAGUAGGGGUCGGCAGGAACACAUCCAGCACCAUCACACUGAACACUGGGGCCCCCCAAGGAUGUGUGCUGAGCCCCCUCCUCUUCACACUGCUGACCCACAACUGCACACUGUCACACAACUCUAACCUCUUUAUUAAGUUUUGUGGAUGACACGACUGUGGUGGGUCUCAUAAGCAACAGAGACGAGACAAAUUACAGGAGUGAGGUGAGCCACCUGGCUGGGUGGUGCAGUGACAACAAUCUCUCUCUGAACGUGGAGAAGACGAAGGAGAUUGUUGUUGACUUCAGGAGAGUGCACACUCAGCAUGCUCCUCUGACCAUCAACGGUGCAACUGUGGAGAGGGUGAGCAGCACCAAAAGGACCUCUCCUGGACCGACAACACCGCAGCACUGGCCAAGAAAUCACAGCAGCAUCUCUGCUUCCUCUGCAAACUGAGAAAAGCCAGAGCCCCGGCCCCCAUUAUGUGCACCUUCUACAGAGGCACCAUUGAGAGCAUCCUUACUAGCUGCAUCACUGUGUGGUAUGGCGCCUGCAACACGUCAUGCCGGAAGACCCUUCAAUGCAUAGUGAGAGCAGCUGAGAAGAUCGUUGGUGUCUCCCUCCCCUGACGUGCACCAGACACUAUGUACAGCAUUGGUCUGCUCACUACAUCAUUCAGCAUUUAACUGACCUCAUUCAACUACCUCUUCUGACAGUUUAAAUAAAAAACUGCUCUCUGAGAUUUUUGACACUUUAAUCAGACUAAAUAAGCUCCUUUGCACUACAAUCAUUAUAUCUGUUUUCUUCACUGGUUUGCACUCUAUCUGCCAUGUGCCUUUACUUAUCUUUCUUUUUACAUGACCUGUAUAUUUGUAUAGUUGUACUUUAUAUUUUAUUAUCUGUAUUUAAUGUUCUACUGUUAGUGUUAUCUCUAUGCACCAAGGAUCUGAGAGUAACGCAAUUUCAGUUCUCUGUAUGUAUGUCCUGUACAUGUGGAAGACUUGACAAUAAAGCAGACUUGACUUGACUUAUUAGGCCAGAAAGAGCUCUGACGUUACGAAUGAGCUUCCAGACAGAGUCCAUUUACUGACAGCUACCUUUAUAACAGACACGUAUAUCUAACAGAAGGACACACUCGUCUACAGAUCUUUUUAAAAACAGACAGAUGGACAGACAAGUGGCAUAAGAUUCAAACA